CCCUGUAUGUACCGAUAGUACAAAAAUUAAGGUUAUACACCCUGUAUGUACCGAUAAUACAAAAAUUAAGGUUAUACACCCUGUGAGUACCGAUAAUACAAAAAGUAAGGUUAUACACCCUGUGAGUACCGAUAAUAAAAAAAUUGGGUAAUACACCCUGUAUGUACCGAUAAUACAAAAAGUAAGUUUAUACACCCUGUGAAUACCGACAAUACAAAAGUAAGGUUAGACACCCUGUGAGUACCGAUAGUACAAAAAGUAAGGUCAUACACCCUGUGAGUACCGACAAUACAAAAAGUAAGGUCAUACACCCUGUGAGUACCGAUAAUACAAAAAGUAAGGUUAUACACCCUGUGAGUACCGAUAAUACAAAAAGUAAGGUUAUACACCCUGUGAGUACCGACAAUACAAAAAGUAAGGUUAUACACCCUGUGAGUACCGAUAGUACAAAAAAUAAGGUUAUACACCCUGUGAGUACCGAUAGUACAAAAAGUAAGGUUAUACACCCUGUGAGAACCGAUAAUACAAAAAGUAAGGUCAUAAACCCUGUGAGUACCGAUAAUACAAAACGUCAGGUUAUACACCCUAUGAGUACCGAUGGUACAAAAAGUAAGGUUAUACACCCUAUGAGUAGCGAAAGUACAAAAAGUAUGGUUAUACACCCUGUGAGUACCAAUAGUACAUAAAGUAAGGUUAUACACCCUGUGAGAACCGAUAAUACAAAAAGUAAGGUCAUACAUCCUGUGAGUACCGGUAGUACAAACGGUAAGGUUAUAUAUAUACAUCCUGUGAGUAUCGAUGGUACAAAAAGUAAGGUUAUACACCCUGUGAGUACCGAUGGUACAAAAGUUAAGGUUAUACACCCUAUGAGUACUUCCCUUUCAAUACGUCUAUUAUUGACUGACACUAAAGUCAAUCUAUUUAAACAUAGAAAAGGCAAGCUUUUUGACGAGGGUAUGAAAACAAAUUCUCUGUUGCAGGACUCUUGUAAACAACCCUAUCGAGAUAAUAGAGGAAGGUGCUUUUUCGACAUUUCACGAUCUUCAAACACUGUACCUCGUGGGUUCCAAUGUGCAAAUAAUUGACGUCGGUAGCACGUUCUCGUCGCGUUCUCUCACCAUCGCUCUCUUUGCUGGUAAAAAUCUGCCAGGUGUGGAAGGAGAAGCUAUUACCCGGAGUAUCCUUCGCGCUUCUGGCUAUGAAUGCCCCAGAGAACAAUCAGCCUGGGACACGUGUUAUCCCUGCACUCAGGGCCAGUACAAAAUCGACGGCUCCUACUACGACCAAUGCACCGACUGCCCCCCAGGUGGGUUCUACCAAGAUAGUAUCGCCCAUAUCGGGGUGAUCUCACAUGGCCUGGGCUGCAAACAGUGCCCGGUGGGUGCCUAUGUUAGCCCCACCCAGGCCCCUGGACGAGUGGAGG